UACGUAGGGGGCAAGCGUUAUCCGGAUUUACUGGGUGUAAAGGGGGCGCAGACGGCGAUGCAAGCCAGGAGUGAAAGCCCGGGGCCCAACCCCGGGACUGCUCUUGGAACUGCGUGGCUGGAGUGCAGGAGGGGCUGGCGGAAUUCCUGGUGUAGCGGUGAAAUGCGUAGAUAUCAGGAGGAACACCGGUGGCGAAGGCGGCCUGCUGGACUGCAACUGACGUUGAGGCCCGAAAGCGUGGGGAGCAAACAGG
rnacentral:rRNA from 1 species